rnacentral:lncRNA from 1 species
UAGAGGAUAAGGGACAGGGACAGGGGACAGGGGCCGUACAUGAUAGAGACCAGGACGGGGAGAUAGGGGACAGGCAUGGGGACAGAGGAUCAAGAACAGGGGACGGAGGAGAGAAUCCCGAGACAGGGGACAGGGCCUAGGAGAUAGGGGGCAGGGGUCGGGAAAAGGGUCCGGGGAUGGGGGAUAAGGCACGGGGACGGGGAACGGGGCAUGGGGGUGGCCGGUAGGGCCCAGGGCUGUGGGGUACAGCACCUGUAGGGUGGGGAACCCGGGGAAACGCGCAGUUCCUAUUCUAAACGCGUUUGCUCGCGGUUGUUUUGUCGGAUAAAGCAGACGGCUCCGUGCUCGCCGUACCCAGCCCCUGCGGGGGAUCCGGCCCCAGUUUGCUCCCCCGGCCCUGCUGGGAGCGCUGGUGACAAACCGGGAUGCCGGGGCGGCACCGCGAGGCGUGGAAAAUGAACGCGGGCCCUGCCGGAGCGCCCCCGCGCCGACCGCUCCCACCGAGCAACCCUGCCGCCGGCGAGAUCAAGCAUGCGAAAGUCUCGGAGUUUGGCGCAUGGGCUGGAGCCCGGCUCUGCUCGGGGCUGCGCAAGCUCAGAAGGAAAAUCCCACCCUGAGGAAAAUCGGAACAUCCUGGGCUUGUUUCUGGACCCGUCACCGUGUGCCUCUGUUCAUCCAUCGGCCUGGAAGGAGCCCAGAGGUCACCUCCUCACCCCGGGGGGAUCGAUCUUGGCAUCCAGGUGGGUCUCAGAGACCUCCAGAGGUGGAGAGGCCUCCUGGCUUGGUCCCCAUGUGGCAGCUCAGAAGGGCCAGCCGGGUCCCCGCACAGGACCCCGGCAUCACGCCCGUGCUGCAAGCACAGCCCACCAGCCCUGCAGUUGUCUGAGGGAUGAACAUUUUCACUCCGGCUCAUUCCGUAAUAAACCUCUCACUCGAGCUGACGUCCCCGGCUCAUUCAGGCAGGACCUCGGGGGGACGUGACCCACAGCCAGAACCGCUCCUUCCCCCCCUUAUGUAUUCAGUGACUCAAAGAAACGCUCCCGAGGCUGUGACAAAGGGGAAGGAAAACAAGGAAAUGCACGUGUGAGGCUGUGCUGCGGGCCGCACGCACCGGGGGUGCAUUUAGGAAGUAGUUAAGGAAGCUCCUCGCCGUGCCUGGGGAGAGGGGUAAGAGCCGGUGCCAGGCCCUGCG